rnacentral:lncRNA from 1 species
CCAUCCCAUCUCUUGGACAGAUGAUGCCAGUUAAUUACUUUGAAU